UGAAGAAAGUUGGAUUCGAACCAACGAUGGGAGUUCCCACCAGAUUUACAGUCUGGCACCUUCAACCACUCAGUCAUUUCUUC
rnacentral:tRNA from 1 species